rnacentral:rRNA from 1 species
ACACCGGCAGCCCUAGUGGUAGCAGUUUUUAUUGGGCCUAAAGCGUCCGUAGCCGGUUUAAUAAGUCUCUGGUGAAAUCCUGUAGCUUAACUGUGGGAAUUGCUGGAGAUACUAUUAGACUUGAGACCGGGAGAGGUUAGAGGUACCCCCAGGGUAGAGGUGAAAUUCUGUAAUCCUGGGAGGACCGCCUGUUGCGAAGGCGUCUAACUGGAACGGUUCUGACGGUGAGGGACGAAAGUUAGGGGCGCGAACCGGAUUAGAUACCCGGGUAGUCCUAACUGUAAACGAUGCGGACUUGGUGUUGGGGUGGCUUUGAGCUGCUCCAGUGCCGAAGGGAAGCUGUUAAGUCCGCCGCCUGGGAAGUACGGUCGCAAGACUGAAACUUAAAGGAAUUGGCGGGG